rnacentral:rRNA from 1 species
UGGGGAAUAUUGCACAAUGGGCGCAAGCCUGAUGCAGCCAUGCCGCGUGUAUGAAGAAGGCCUUCGGGUUGUAAAGUACUUUCAGCGGGGAGGAAGGCGAUAAGGUUAAUAACCUUGUCGAUUGACGUUACCCGCAGAAGAAGCACCGGCUAACUCCGUGCCAGCAGCCGCGGUAAUACGGAGGGUGCAAGCGUUAAUCGGAAUUACUGGGCGUAAAGCGCACGCAGGCGGUCUGUCAAGUCGGAUGUGAAAUCCCCGGGCUCAACCUGGGAACUGCAUUCGAAUCUGGCAGGCUAGAGUCUUGUAGAGGGGGGUAGAAUUCCAGGUGUAGCGGUGAAAUGCGUAGAGAUCUGGAGGAAUACCGGUGGCGAAGGCGGCCCCCUGGACAAAGACUGACGCUCAGGUGCGAAAGCGUGGGGAGCAAACA